rnacentral:rRNA from 1 species
GAUGAACGCUGGCGGCGUGCCUAAUACAUGCCAGUCGAGCGAACAGACGAGGAGCUUGCUCCUCUGACGUUAGCGGCGGACGGGUGAGUAACACGUGGAUAACCUACCUAUAAGACUGGGAUAACUUCGGGAAACCGGAGCUAAUACCGGAUAAUAUAUUGAACCGCAUGGUUCAAUAGUGAAAGACGGUUUUGCUGUCACUUAUAGAUGGAUCCGCGCCGCAUUAGCUAGUUGGUAAGGUAACGGCUUACCAAGGCGACGAUGCGUAGCCGACCUGAGAGGGGGAUCGGCCACACAGGAACUGAGACACGGUCCAGACUCCUACGGGAGGCAGCAGUAGGGAAGCUUCCGAAAUGGGCGAAAGCCUGACGGAGCAACGCCGCGUGAGUGAUGAAGGGCUUCGGAUCGUAAAACUCUGUUAUUAGGGAAGAACAAAUGUGUAAGUAACUAUGCACGUCUUGACGGUACCUAAUCAGAAAGCCACGGCUAACUACGU